AAAGAAGUCAUUUGUAUGCAUUUCCCAUAGGGUCCUAUGUUAAACUAAGUCCCCCGCUGGCGGCCAUCUUGGAUUAUGGAUCGGCUUCAAAGUAACAACACUCGGUCAGCACCUCAUAAGGAACAUUCAUACCAUGUUUGGUUUCAUUCCGUUCAGUGGUUCUAUAAAAGAAGACAUUUGUAUGUAUUUCCCAUAGGGUCCUAUGUUAAACUAAGUCCCUCACUGGUGGCCAUUUUGGAUGAUGGAACAGCUACAAAGUAACAACACUUGGUCAGCACCUUGUAAGGAACAUUCAUGCUAUGUUUUGUUACAUUCCAUUCAGUGGUUCUCUAAAAGAAGUCAUUUGUAUGCAUUUCCCAUAGGGUCCUAUGUUAAACUAAGUCCCCUGCUGGCGGCCAUCUUGGAUGAUGGAUCGGCUACAAAGUAACAACACUUGGUCAGCACCUCCUAAUGAACAUUCAUGCUAUGUUUUGUUUCAUUCCAUUCAGUGGUUCUCUAAAAGAAGUCAUUUGUAUGCAUUUCCCAUAGGGUCCUAUGUUAAACUAAGUCCCUCACUGGCGGCCAUUUUGGAUGAUGGAACAGCUACAAAGUAACAACACUUGGUCAGCACCUUGUAAGGAACAUUCAUGCUAUGUUUUGUUUCAUUCCAUUCAGUGGUUCUCUAAAAGAAGUCAUUUGUAUGCAUUUCCCAUAGGGUCCUAUGUUAAAUUAAGUCCUCCGCUGGCGGCCAUCUUGGAUGAUGGAUCAGCUACAAAGUAACAACACUUGGUCAGCACCUCCUAAUGAACAUUCAUGCUAUGUUUUGUUUCAUUCCAUUCAGUGGUUCUCUAAAAGAAGUCAUUUGUAUGCAUUUCCCAUAGGGUCCUAUGUUAAACUAAGUCCCUCACUGGUGGCCAUUUUGGAUGAUGGAACAGCUACAAAGUAACAACACUUGGUCAGCACCUUGUAAGGAACAUUCAUGCUAUGUUUUGUUACAUUCCAUUCAGUGGUUCUCUAAAAGAA